CCUACGGGAGGCAGCAGUGGGGAAUAUUGCACAAUGGGCGCAAGCCUGAUGCAGCCAUGCCGCGUGUGUGAAGAAGGCCUUCGGGUUGUAAAGCACUUUCAGCGGGGAGGAAGGCGUUAAGGUUAAUAACCUUGGCGAUUGACGUUACCCGCAGAAGAAGCACCGGCUAACUCCGUGCCAGCAGCCGCGGUAAUACGGAGGGUGCAAGCGUUAAUCGGAAUUACUGGGCGUAAAGCGCACGCAGGCGGUCUGUCAAGACGGAUGUGAAAUCCCCGGGCUCAACCUGGGAACUGCAUUCGAAACUGGCAGGCUAGAGUCUUGUAGAGGGGGGUAGAAUUCCAGGUGUAGCGGUGAAAUGCGUAGAGAUCUGGAGGAAUACCGGUGGCGAAGGCGGCCCCCUGGACAAAGACUGACGCUCAGGUGCGAAAGCGUGGGGAGCAAACAGGAUUAGAUACCCGAGUAGUC
rnacentral:rRNA from 1 species